UCAAGCAAUCCUCCUGCCUCAGCCUCCUAAAUUGCUGGAAUGAUUACAGGCAUGAGCCACCACACCUAGCCUCACUGACUUCAACUGCUUUUAAUCCCAUAUCUGCAGAGCUAAAAGAAUAUCAGCAGAGGAACAGCCUUGGUGAUCCGGCAGGAGCGAAGACAAAAAA